rnacentral:rRNA from 1 species
UACGUAGGGAGCAAGCGUUGUUCGGAUUUACUGGGCGUAAAGGGCGCGUAGGCGGCAAUUCAAGUCAGCUGUGAAAUCUCCGGGCUUAACUCGGAACGGUCAGCUGAUACUGCUUUGCUAGAGUGCGGAAGGGGCAAUCGGAAUUCUCGGUGUAGCGGUGAAAUGCGUAGAUAUCGAGAGGAACACCUGAGGUGAAGACGGGUUGCUGGGCCGACACUGACGCUGAGGCGCGAAAGCCAGGGGAGCGAACGGG